rnacentral:sRNA from 1 species
CAAAGAGGAAUCUGUUGACUGGACAGCGGAGGCAGUGAGUUAGUGGCCUAUUAAAGGUCACUUCCCUGACCAAAAAACCCCAACCAAUCUUAAAAAAGGGAAGCCCCCGAUGGAAGUCGUAAAAGUCUUCGGCAUGAGUAUAUCGUGUCAGUUGUCGUGUCAUGUCAUGACCUCCUGGAACAUUUUAUGGCCGCUCCGGAAACGAGAAAAACGGGGUUGUCUUAAAAGCCGUUCAGGCAAAUCGCAUCGUAUUAACCUUCAACGUUUUCAUUUUGAACAUUUUCAGUGACAGGAAUUCAAUUCCCACCCCCACGAACACGAACUCCCCGCGCCACUUGAUCCCCAUUUGAUUUGUCAAAUGCUCCAGACAUCAGAGACGUUGGUAUGCAGGGGCAAAAAGCACACACAGUUCUCUCGGCAAGGCAAAAAAGGGUUCCCACAUCGGCCUCACCAGCAAUGACACUUGUAGCAGACGAAUGGGAUCUUGGAGUACCGAGCAGAACCUUGAAUACCCUACAGUACCUAAUAAUAGAUACAACGUGAUAGUCGCAUUUAUGCUACUUCAAUAUUAAGACUUCGACACGCAGAUUUGGGAAAAUCGUGUUGGUUAUAAUUAGAAUAUUGAAAGACAGUUUAACACCCAAGCACUUGUUCAAUGCUGCUCCCGGAACGCUUCCCUUUCCUUGUGGUCCAGACCAAGCAACCUUACUUUGGGACCAUCAAGCGAGAUGAUCCGACUUGGUGUAGAUUCAGGAUACGAGGGACUUUGGGGAUGCGGUGUCUGGAUUCCUACCAUCCGCGUAUUCCUCGCCGCCUGCGACUCCGGCGGAGCUAAAAUGACAUUCACUGACACUGAGCACUCGUCGCCUGGGAGUCUUGCAAUAAAAAUAAAACGAUUCUCAAAUAAGCGCUCAGGGAGUUUGUCACCGGAGCUGUCUUUUCCCUGCCAAAACAGCUCGCAUAUCCUUUCUGCCUGCUACACCUGCAAGUAUAUAAUGUACAUACAUCUCUAAGCGCGUCUCCAAAGAAAAACGUACGAAAUGAUCUGUUUUAAUUUGCAGACAACUUAAUAACACUGCUUCUGUAUUAUACUAUAUUGGAGUUUAAAGACUAAAUAAUUAAUUGACAGCAAGUUA